AGGGACCGCACAGGUCAGCCGGGAGAAAGAGCUUGGAGAAUUGUCUUCAUAUAAGAGCCUGCAAAGGACUUCCUGAAGCAGACAGAGAGGAUCUUGCUUCACAUCACCACCUGGCCUGUGGUCAUGUCACUUUCAAGGUGGUAUCUCAGGCUUUUGGAACUUGCUAGAUCAUCUGUCUUCCUUGCCUACACGGUAACGGUAUAUUUCAAGAACAUGACAAGCCACCUAAUCACAGAUUUACAAGAGAAGGUGACAGCAUUACAGAAGGAAAACCAGAGUUUUAGGAGAUGGAAAGAGAUCACAUUAGAAAAUCUCAACUCAUUUUGGGAAGGGAAUGGAGAUAUGAUCUCAGACUUCCAAGACAAGACCAAGGCUGCUUGGAAAAAGAACAUGACUCUCUGGAAAAAAAACAUGACCUUCUGGAACAAUGUCAACAUCCUACUAAAGGAUGAAGAGGAAAUCUGGGGAAAAGAUCUAGUCAAAUGGAAAGCAGAGCUGGACCUUUGGAAGAAGGAGCUGGACCUUUGGGGAGAGGAACAAGAAUUCCUUGGAAAGUGAAAACAUUCACAGAAGAAAACAAAACUGUACUGGUCAAAAAUCAAAGAUGAGGCACUCGUGCUUAGAAUGAUUUCUGCCUUCUUACACUAAUAAAACCUUGACUGCUCUCUGAAA